UGCAGUCGAACGCUGAAGCACCAGCUUGCUGGUGUGGAUGAGUGGCGAACGGGUGAGUAAUACGUGAGUAACCUGCCCUUGACUCUGGGAUAAGCCCGGGAAACUGGGUCUAAUACUGGAUGCUACAUGUCACCGCAUGGUGGUGUGUGGAAAGGGUUUACUGGUCUUGGAUGGGCUCACGGCCUAUCAGCUUGUUGGUGAGGUAAUGGCUCACCAAGGCGACGACGGGUAGCCGGCCUGAGAGGGUGACCGGCCACACUGGGACUGAGACACGGCCCAGACUCCUACGGGAGGCAGCAGUGGGGAAUAUUGCACAAUGGGCGAAAGCCUGAUGCAGCGACGCCGCGUGAGGGAUGACGGCCUUCGGGUUGUAAACCUCUUUCAGCAGGGAAGAAGCCACAAGUGACGGUACCUGCAGAAGAAGCGCCGGCUAACUACGUGCCAGCAGCCGCGGUAAUACGUAGGGCGCAAGCGUUGUCCGGAAUUAUUGGGCGUAAAGAGCUCGUAGGCGGUUUGUCGCGUCUGCUGUGAAAGCCCGGGGCUUAACCCCGGGUGUGCAGUGGGUACGGGCAGACUAGAGUGCAGUAGGGGAGACUGGAAUUCCUGGUGUAGCGGUGGAAUGCGCAGAUAUCAGGAGGAACACCGAUGGCGAAGGCAGGUCUCUGGGCUGUUACUGACGCUGAGGAGCGAAAGCAUGGGGAGCGAACAGGAUUAGAUACCCUGGUAGUCCAUGCCGUAAACGUUGGGCACUAGGUGUGGGGGACAUUCCACGUUUUCCGCGCCGUAGCUAACGCAUUAAGUGCCCCGCCUGGGGAGUACGGCCGCAAGGCUAAAACUCAAAGGAAUUGACGGGGGCCCGCACAAGCGGCGGAGCAUGCGGAUUAAUUCGAUGCAACGCGAAGAACCUUACCAAGGCUUGACAUAUACCGGGAUCGUUCCAGAGAUGGUUCUUCCCCUUUGGGGUCGGUAUACAGGUGGUGCAUGGUU
rnacentral:rRNA from 1 species